rnacentral:misc_RNA from 1 species
GAAAUGCGAUACGUAAUGCGAAUUGCAGAUCCAGUGAAUCAUCGAGUCUUUGAACGCAUAUUGCGCCCCCCGGCACUCCGGGGGGCUUGUCCGACCGAGCGCCGCAGCGCCGCCCAGGCAAGAGCCGCGCCCCCGCGCGCGGCGCCUGGUGUUGGGGCAUGCGACCCCCGAAGCAGCCCUCAAAUCCAGCCGCGGCCGCCGCAGCGCGCGGCCCCCAGGCGCAGUACGUGCUGCCGCCUCGAGGGGUCCCUGCGACGGCCCGCCAAAAAGCAAGAGCAAGCCCCGCCCGCCCCGACGGGAGGCGGGGCUCGCCCACGCACCCCCGGUUGGCCUCGGGUCGGACAAGGCUACCCGCUGAACUUAA